UGUGAACUGAAAAUUCUCUUCAAUUUGAAUUAACUGGGUUUUUCUUCUGUGAGUAACCAUUAAACAUGGCAUCCUUCAGCUACCAUGUUCUAUCAGGCUGGAAGAAAGACAAACUCUAAAGUUACUCCAGGCUGACAGAGCUGACAGAGUUUCACAGUCCGGAGAAGAGGCCCAACAACUUUGGGGAAGGGAGUGUAAUGACUCCUGGAACACCACAUCAGUCACACUAUGGAGUAUAUAACAGGCCAAAGAAAAACAACAUUCAACGAUCUUCCAUGUGCAAGGGUAGCUAUUCAAACUUUCAAGUUUUGUUUUUGUGACAGUCUGCAAAGUGAACAGAAAAUGUCACAACAUGACUCCUUUCUCAUGACAGCAGCUGUAAAAAAAAUGGGAAAUAAUAGAAGCAACCCAUUCUAGUUUUGCAAUUUUUAGAUAGUAAUCACUUCACCCUUCUUGGAUUCUGUCAAGAGUUG
rnacentral:lncRNA from 1 species